rnacentral:tRNA from 1 species
AAUCGAAGGGUUGCAGGUUCAAUUCCUGUCCGUUUCAGAAGCGGUGGCUCAAUGGUAGAGCUUUCGACUCCAAU